UUUUUUUUUUGUACCAGAGAUUGAACCUGGGGAACUUAACCACUGAACCACAUCCCCAGCCCUUUUUGUACUUUAAAUUUAGACUUCUGAGUUGCUUAGGGCCUUGCUAAUUUGCUGAGGCUCGCUUUGAACUAACAAUCUUCCUGCCUCAGCCUCCCAAACUGCUGGGAUUAUAGGCACACACUAUGUGCCUGACUUCUGAUAAUUCUAAAUUGUUCCUCCAACUCUAGUACUGUAGUAGAUAUCAGGCUUUCUUACUCUACAUGCUUCAUGAGGGCGCAAAGACCAGGGUUUAUUCAUGUUACCUCAUGACGCUUGGUGACUGUCAGACAGUAGGUACUUAAUAACUACUGUCCAACUUAACUAAAUCCCUGACAAAGGGGCCUCUAGGCAUCAAUUGAUUUUUUUUUUUUUUUUGGUGUUAAUUUCCUGCAGCAGUUUGUUUAUUGCUUUAUCAUUAGCCUCCUUUUAUUCUGACUUCUAUUGUUUAUUAUUUCUGAAGCAAAAUUCGUUUACAGUGUUUGUUAGAGAAGCCACAGAUUUUUAAAUGUUUAGGAGGGGGGGAAUAGAACAAAAAAAAAUUUUUAACCCUGUCACUAAGUGCAGAGAAUUCCAUCCCACCAGCCUUCCUCACCAAUUUAAGGGAGGAGUAAAUGUAGGCAGAAUAUUUGAAAGCUGUGUGCCCUGUACAGUCUGUGACUUAAGACAACAUUGAGAAAUCCAUUACCAUCCUGCUUAUCCUUUUCUUCUGUUAGUUUGUUGAUGACUCAUAAUAUUUAUAUCCAGCAAUGAUCAAUGAACUCUGCCAUCUGAUCAAACAGAGUACAGUUAGUAUCGUUUUCUAUAGUCUUGUUAUAGAUGUUUAAAAAUGGCUCUCUUGCAUGAGGAAAAGAUUAACAUUAAACAGAGACGAGUGGGGGGAGAGAAAGGGAGAGAGAAGGGAAACUAUGGAAAUGGAAGGAGACCCUCAUUGUUACACAAAAUUACAUAUAAGAGUUUGUGAGGGGAAAGGGGAAAAAAAAAAAAACAAGGGAGAGAAUUAAACAACAGCAGAUGGGGUUGAGAGGGAAGGGGAGGGGGGAUUGUAGGGGAUAGGAAAGGUAGCAGAAUACAACAGUCAUUAAUAUGGUAUUAUGUAAAAAUGUGGAUGUGUAACCGAUGUGAUUCUGCAACUUGUAUUUGGGGUAAAAAAUGGGAGUUCAUAACCCACUUGAAUCAAAUGUAUGGAAGAUGAUAUGUCAUGAGCUUUGUAAUGUUUUGAACAACCAAUAAAAAAAAAUGGCUCUCUUAGCUGUCGUAUUAUCCUACAGAUCGUAUUAGAACAGUGCUUG
rnacentral:lncRNA from 1 species